CACAAGCGGUGGAUGAUGUGGAUUAAUUCGAUGCAACGCGAAAACCUUACCUACCCUUGACAUGUCUGGAACCUUGGUGAGAGCCGAGGGUGCCUUCGGGAGCCAGAACACAGGUGCUGCAUGGCUGUCGUCAGCUCGUGUCGUGAGAUGUUGGGUUAAGUCCCGCAACGAGCGCAACCCUUGUCACUAGUUGCCAUCAUUUAGUUGGGCACUCUAGUGAGACUGCCGGUGACAAACCGGAGGAAGGUGGGGAUGACGUCAAGUCCUCAUGGCCCUUAUGGGUAGGGCUUCACACGUCAUACAAUGGUCGGUACAAAGGGUCGCCAACCCGCGAGGGGGAGCCAAUCCCAUAAAGCCAUUCGUAGUCCGGAUCGCAGUCUGCAACUCGACUGCGUGAAGUCGGAAUCGCUAGUAAUCGUGGAUCAGAAUGUCACGGUGAAUACGUUCCCGGGUCUU
rnacentral:rRNA from 1 species